CUUGUACUCCCUCCGUCCAGAAAUACUUGUCAUUGAGAUGGAUGUAUCUAGAUGUAUUUUAGUUCUAGACACAUCCAUUUUGAUGACAAGUAAUUCCGGAUGGAGGGAGUACUUC
rnacentral:pre_miRNA from 1 species